CUUGCUGACACAUCAGCAUCCAGCACAACAAUUCACAGUCUGAGCGUCUACCACGUGUCCCGUCUCCUUAAUACGCUGCGGUUCAUUAACUUGAAAAUUUCAGUUGUUUGGGCAUAUUUCGUAACAAGUCUAUUCUGAAGUGUUUUGGGCUGAAAAAUCAGAUGGCCCAAUAGAAUGACUCUUGAUGCAGAGAAAUAAAGCUUUAGUGUUCGUUUCUGGUCUUCGACGGCGCCUCUUGAUCUUUAUCUUCAUUCCAAUCUCCGAAACGGUCCGAGUUAAAACUUUUUCGUGUUUAAUCCUAUUAAUUCAAUCAACCACGAUGAGGUAUUGAAUGCGUGGUUAACAUCCGUGAGUCGGUGUAUUUGCAAGUAUAAAUAGGACUCUGAUUCUGAGUUUCUCAAAGAGAAAGAUGUUAAGGGAGGAUCUUGCUGCGCCACGGCACUCAUCAAAGACGGGAAUCUCGGUGUCCAAUUCCGGCGAUUGCCGUGCUGUUUUGAGCGUUGGAGGACUCGCGGAGGCACUGACUUCUGACCACCGCCCUUCUAGAGAGGAUGAGCGGUACAGAAUUGAAAGCUCGGUAAUAAUUCCUCUCUAUAAACACCUGAUGUUCCUACAAUCGAUCCCAAGGAAGGUAACUACUGGUACUCUUUAACAGUUCCUACAAACGAUUUUUUUUUUCAUUUUGCUGUAGUGGUUGAUGGUAAGCAAAUUUGAAGGCCAACCAUUGUAGCUCCACCGUUGAAGAACUCUUUCUUCCUUCUCUCUUUCAUGGUUCUGUUUAUUGAAACUAUAUCAUCUUCAUUACUGAGCUGGGAAGCUGUGUGUUCUUCUGUCGACGCGUCAAUAGUUUAGAAUUUCUAAGAUCUUUUAAAGGAAUCCUUUUGAAUAAAGCCUAAACCUUUGCUUAUAUUGUUGAACAUGAUGAAUGGUUCCUAAAGGUAUUUUCUGUUGCUAUUAUUGUUGUUAUCUCUCAAGUCUUUCUGUAUAAAAAUGGACUUCACAUAGGGAAAAUAAUGUUGUUAUAAGAUGAGAACAUGAUAGUGUAAAUUUGGUUUCACCAGUUGACUUCACCAUUCUGUUCUUCCUGUACAAGCUCUAUGCUAUCAACUGGUCCCACUAUUUUCAUUUGGUUUCAGUCUCAAUUCGUUCAUUCAUUGCAAGAAUUCGGAGUAGUAUAUGUUCAAAGCACCUACAGUUACAGCCAAAAUGGUUCUUCCUCUCUGUAUGGUUUCAUACUCAACCGGCACUGGCCUCUCAAUUUGUCAUAACAGCUCUGUGGUAAAAAUGCAUCCAUUUUCCGCAAUGUGUGAUUGGCAAGUUUGGCAUACCCGCAAUUUUGAUCACUCCAUGAGCUCUUCUUCUUCUUUACUAAGCUAGAACUAAAAAUUAGUAUGAUGUGUGAAGAAACUAAAAUUUUUGUGUAUAACAUCUUCCAUAUGCUAAAUUAUCUUAUUUGCUAAAACUGAGAAAUGACAGGAUUAACUAAAA